CUCUCCUUGAAGUUUAACUGGCUUUCCCCGAACGAUACAUGAAAGGCUGGAUCUGCAGCUUUUGCAGCCUCAUGAAAAGUCUCACGAAUGAGCAGAAAUUAUAUUACAUGCCUUCCUCACCUGAGCAGUACUUCUAUCUUUCUGUUUCUUUCUUCUUGGAGCACCAACUGAAGCUCGGUCCACCAAUGGGCCUGACCAUGUCUGGAUGGGUACUUUUGAAUAUGAGAAAUUUGUG
rnacentral:misc_RNA from 1 species